rnacentral:rRNA from 1 species
UGAGGAAUAUUGGUCAAUGGGCUUACGCCUGAACCAGCCAAGUCGCGUGAGGGAAGACUGCCCUAUGGGUUGUAAACCUCUUUGUCAGGGAGCAACGCCGGCUACGUGUAGCCGGACUGAGAGUACCUGAAGAAAAAGCAUCGGCUAACUCCGUGCC